GCCCGUGUGGUGGAAUUGGUAGACACAGGGGAUUCAAAAUCCCCCGCUGUAACAGGCUUGCCGGUUCGAGUCCGGCCACGGGUACCA
rnacentral:tRNA from 1 species